rnacentral:rRNA from 1 species
AGAGUUUGAUCCUGGCUCAGGAUGAACGCUGGCGGCGUGCUUAACACAUGCAAGUCGAACGAAGCACCUUAUUCUGAUUUCUUCGGAAUGAAAAAUUUGGUGACUGAGUGGCGGACGGGUGAGUAACGUGUGGGUAACCUGCCUCAUACAGGGGGAUAACAGUUAGAAAUGACCGCUAAUACCGCAUAAGACCACAGCACCGCAUGGUGCAGGGGUAAAAACUCCGGUGGUAUGAGAUGGACCCGCGUCUGAUUAGGUAGUUGGUGGGGUAACGGCCUACCAAGCCGACGAUCAGUAGCCGACCUGAGAGGGUGACCGGCCACAUUGGGACUGAGACACGGCCCAAACUCCUACGGGAGGCAGCAGUGGGGAAUAUUGCACAAUGGGGGAAACCCUGAUGCAGCGACGCCGCGUGAGCGAUGAAGUAUUUCGGUAUGUAAAGCUCUAUCAGCAGGGAAGAAAAUGACGGUACCUGACUAAGAAGCACCGGCUAAAUACGUGCCAGCAGCCGCGGUAAUACGUAUGGUGCAAGCGUUAUCCGGAUUUACUGGGUGUAAAGGGAGCGUAGACGGAGUGGCAAGUCUGAUGUGAAAACCCGGGGCUCAACCCCGGGACUGCAUUGGAAACUGUCAAUCUAGAGUACCGGAGAGGUAAGCGGAAUUCCUAGUGUAGCGGUGAAAUGCGUAGAUAUUAGGAGGAACACCAGUGGCGAAGGCGGCUUACUGGACGGUAACUGACGUUGAGGCUCGAAAGCGUGGGGAGCAAACAGGAUUAGAUACCCUGGUAGUCCACGCCGUAAACGAUGACUACUAGGUGUCGGGCAGCAAAGCUGUUCGGUGCCGCAGCAAACGCAAUAAGUAGUCCACCUGGGGAGUACGU